AACGAACGCUGGCGGCAUGCCUAACACAUGCAAGUCGAACGAAGGCUUCGGCCUUAGUGGCGCACGGGUGCGUAACGCGUGGGAAUCUGCCCUUAGGUGCGGAAUAACUCAGGGAAACUUGAGCUAAUACCGCAUAAUGACUCCGGUCCAAAGAUUUAUCGCCUAAGGAUGAGCCCGCGUAGGAUUAGCUUGUUGGUGAGGUAAAAGCUCACCAAGGCGACGAUCCUUAGCUGGUCUGAGAGGAUGAUCAGCCACACUGGGACUGAGACACGGCCCAGACUCCUACGGGAGGCAGCAGUGGGGAAUAUUGGACAAUGGGCGAAAGCCUGAUCCAGCAAUGCCGCGUGAGUGAUGAAGGCCUUAGGGUUGUAAAGCUCUUUUACCCGGGAUGAUAAUGACAGUACCGGGAGAAUAAGCCCCGGCUAACUCCGUGCCAGCCGCCGCCGUAAUAC
rnacentral:rRNA from 1 species